AUUGAACGCUGGCGGCACGCCUUACACAUGCAAGUCGAACGGCAGCACGGGGGCAACCCUGGUGGCGAGUGGCGAACGGGUGAGUAACACAUCGGAACGUACCCGGUGGUGGGGGAUAGCCCGGCGAAAGCCGGAUUAAUACCGCAUACGACCUACGGGUGAAAGCGGGGGAUCGUAAGACCUCGCGCUAUCGGAGCGGCCGAUGUCAGAUUAGGUUGUUGGUGGGGCAAAGGCCUACCAAGCCGANGAUCUGUAGCUGGUCUGAGAGGACGACCAGCCACACUGGGACUGAGACACGGCCCAGACUCCUACGGGAGGCAGCAGUGGGGAAUUUUGGACAAUGGGCGCAAGCCUGAUCCAGCCAUGCCGCGUGCGGGAAGAAGGCCCUCGGGUUGUAAACCGCUUUUGUCGGGGAAGAAGCGCUCUGGGCUAAUUAUCCCGGGGUAUGACGGUACCCGAAGAAUAAGCACCGGCUAACUACGUGCCAGCCGCCGCUGUAAU
rnacentral:rRNA from 1 species